rnacentral:rRNA from 1 species
CUGCCCUACGGGGCGCAGCAGUGGGGGAUAUUGCACAAUGGGGGAAACCCUGAUGCAGCGACGCCGCGUGAGUGAAGAAGCGUUUCGGCGCGUAAAGCUCUGUCAGCGGGGAAGAAACACGGUUCGCGAGAGCCGCGGACGGUACCCGACCAAGAAGCCCCGGCUAACUACGUGCCAGUAGCCGCGGUAAUACGUAGGGGGCAAGCGUUAUCCGGAAUUACUGGGUGUAAAGGGAGAGUAGGCGGCAAGGUAAGCGAUAUGUGAAAGCCUUAGGCUUAACCAAAGGAUUGCAUAACGAACUAUCU